GUUCAGUGACCUCCGCAUCCCAGCCCAGGCAUGAUGGAGAUCUUUUUCUGUCCACUCCACCAGCCAAUACCCCCUACCUACACGGCUCCCUGUCGCCUUAUACCCUCUGGGUGCAACCCGCAUGCAAAUCCCUCCCCACAGGAUUGCUGGUUAAAUACAAACCCCUGAUUACAGCAGCCUCAGUCUCUCCCCAGACACAGAACUGCCCGGUCCUGCCUGCUGGGGAGUUUCCCUCCUUGCAUGAAAACGAGAAUGAAAUUUCUGCUGCUUUUCCUUUUCUUGUUCUCUGCCCCCAUCAGUGUCCUCUCCCAGGUGCAGCUGGUCCAGUCCGGACCGGGAACGGCGAAGCCCGGAGAGACCCUCGCACUGACCUGUGCCGUCUCCGGGUUCUCCAUCACUACUCAGUAUUACGACUGGCACUGGAUCCGGCAGCCCCCGGGGAAAGGUCUGGAGUGGAUGGGGUACGUGUACCCGUAUAGUAGCGGGAGCACAAGCUACGCCCCGUCUCUCCAGGGCCGAAUCACCAUCUCUGCAGACACCGCCAAGAACCAGGUCUCCCUGCAGCUCCGCUCGCUGACAGCUGCAGACACCGGCGCCUAUUACUGCGCCAGAGACACAGUGACACAGAGCAGAGCGGGACUGGCACAAAAAGGGGAAGCGGUUUCUAAAUAGCUUAAUGAGGCCGGAGUUACAGGGACAGUGGAGCCCUGCAGAGAAAGAGACACACAGGGCGAACUCACUAUGAAAACAUACAGCCAAA